UGCUACAGGCAGGCUAUCGAUCCCGUUCAUUCAGGGUAGGAAAGUCCGGACAGCAUAGAGCAACGCAUCCCGGUAACGCCGGGACUCCCGCUUUGCGGGACGAGAAAGUGCCACAGAAAAUAGUUUCCUUAAUCCCUUUGCCGGGAUGUAUCCCGCUUAGGCGGGAGGGUAAAAUUGAAAACGUGGGGUAAGAGCCCACGGGGGUGUUCUGGAAGGUGCAUCCCGGGUAAACCUUGCGUGCUGAAAUGCCAUGUAAGCCAACGAUCCAGAGCUGCUCGUUCUGUCCGCCCCGGCGGAGCGUUGGUGGGUAGGCAGAUACAUCCCUCCAGCAAUGCAGGGAGCAGAUAAAUGAUAGCUGUCUUGUUGAAAAUUGAGGGUGGUUUACUGCCUUCGCGCUUUGCGCUUCAACAGGUAAACAGAAUCCGGCUUAUGCCUGUAGUUUUAU
rnacentral:RNase_P_RNA from 1 species